rnacentral:misc_RNA from 1 species
AUUAUCAAUAACCUGAAUUUGUCUACUUUUCGUCAUGUAUUUAUUCGUCCUUUCUCGACAUAAUUUCCCGUAAUUCUCAAUGUUUUCAUGAUGAGGCUUCACGUCAAAUUUGUGAUAUAUCUUCCCUUCAACCGAAACCCUUCCUUGACCCGAUUCGGAAAAUAUCGACAUUGGGAUAAAAUCUGUUGACAUAUCCAUCGAGUAGUGAGUCGGCAUGUUUCCAGAUGAAGUUCCGGCCAAUUCCAUGGUGAAUUGA